rnacentral:rRNA from 1 species
AGAGUUUGAUCCUGGCUCAGAACGAACGCUGGCGGCAGGCCUAACACAUGCAAGUCGAGCGCACUUAUGACCUUCGGGUUAUAGGCGAGCGGCGGACGGGUUAGUAACGCGUGGGAACGUACCCUUUACUACGGAAUAGCCUUUGGAAACGAAGAGUAAUACCGUAUACGCCCUUUGGGGGAAAGAUUUAUCGGUAAAGGAUCGGCCCGCGUUAGAUUAGAUAGUUGGUGGGGUAAUGGCCUACCAAGUCUACGAUCUAUAGCUGGUUUGAGAGGAUGAUCAGCAACACUGGGACUGAGACACGGCCCAGACUCCUACGGGAGGCAGCAGUGGGGAAUCUUAGACAAUGGGCGAAAGCCUGAUCUAGCCAUGCCGCGUGAGUGAAGAAGGCCUUAGGGUCGUAAAACUCUUUCGCCAGAGAUGAUAAUGACAGUAUUUGGUAAAGAAACCCCGCUAACU